CAAUUAGGGAUGAGAGCAGUGAAGGGGAACGAUGCUCUACACAAGGAAGCCACUCCAGAGCUACUGGCAGGAACAGCAAGAAAAGUGACAGUGAUGAGAACAUUGCAUGCAACAUCUCUUGCUCUUCCACGGGAUCCAAAAAGAGCAAACGCAGUCACAUUCAUUUGGAUGCACGGUCUGAAAUGUCUGUGUCUUCACUUGGAUCCUCUCCGAAUAAAAAGAAGAAUUCCCUACAUGCAGAUGAUGUGAGAUCGUGCAGCAGAGCAUCCAAUUACUCCAAAAGCUCGUGUGAAACCAAGAAAAAAUCUGUUGGAGACGCCAUGUCUCAAAAGUCAGGAUCUCUUCAGUCAAACAUUUCAUCUACUAGUGCAGCAGAAGCAACUGCAGGUCCUGCUGAGGAGAAAAGCUCUAAAAGUACCGCCAGUCGCUACAGUAAAUCCUCAAAAGGCUCAAAGAAGAGAAGCCAUAGAGAAGACAAUAGUAAACCAUCAUCCCUCUGCUCAAAAUCUUCAAGUCCUAAUGGAAAAGCUGGAGAGGGUCAUGCCAAGGUUAGUUCAGAGCUCUCUUCUUCCAGACAGGGAAGUAUGAGUGGGAGUGUGUGUUCCAAAGCUGACCACGCAACUGAGAAUGAGAUUAGGAAUGGAAAGCCUACAAGUAGCUCCUCAAGAGUCUCUUCAAAAUCAGAAGUAAAAGAUAAAUUCUUGUUGGCACAGGUAUCCCAGGAGACGGAUGAGAGGCGUUCCCAGUCAAACAUGUCUCAAUCUUCAAAGUCAAGGCUGACAAAAAACAACAAUCUUCGGGUGAAGAUGUCAAACUCCAGCCGGGCAUCACUAUCUGAGAGCACAUCGGUGCACAGCCUGCACUGCCCUGCCCCACCCAAAGGGAAGCCAAAGAGGAGAAACAUGCGUCCAGCCAUACUGAAGAAUUCCUCCAUUAGCAGUGUAGGCACCAAGUCGGUGCUGAGCACAGGAAAAGAGCAGAAAGAAAUUGUAGAUUCCUCCAAAGAGACUUCCUAUGGGUCUAGGUCAGCAGCACCCGAAGUAAACGAUCAGAAUAAUAAAGAGACGGAUGAU
rnacentral:lncRNA from 1 species